AGAACACCAGACCAUCCUUAGGUCUGAAUUUCUGUGGAUUUGCAUCACAAUUCUACAGCAGCUGAAAGUACUGCGGUUGGAUACUCUAUGACAAUCCACUUUGGACCAGGAAGGUGAUGGGUAUUCAAUGUAAGUGCAUAUGCUAAAAUACUUGGAGAUUUUAGCUAAAAAGUGAAAAAUGGGCAGUAAUGUAUAUUUUAAAUGAAACAGAGUCUCAGCAUGGGAACAUAAGAGAUGAGUACACUGAAUCAUAGCAAAACUUAAUUUGGUGGAAAAAUAUGGUAGUUUUUAACAUUUGCCAUAUUUUAACAUUUGCAACAAUAAUUUCUUCCUGGAAUAGAGUCUGCCUGGCAAGUUUCAGAACAGUAAGAAUUUUAAUAAUCCCUGGAAAAUAAGGGUUUGUGUUGGAGGUGUUCAUUGACUCUUAACCAUAGUUUUGUAGCAACCAUAAAAAUUAGGUCUCUUCCAUUUUUUAGGAAUCUAGCCAUCUCCUGCUACUGUAGGAUCAUUACAUACAAUAUAAAGCUCAGCGGUUUGUCCACCCUAGUUUUGGAUGUCCCAAGAAAAGAAAUGUCCAUCAUUUGCUUAGGAAACUAUACAAAACACACUAAUUCAUUUUGCUGCCUGGAAAAUUUUUUCUGACAGCUUGAAUUUUUUUUUCUUAAUUUCAUCCUAUUAUGUCUUGUUAUAACCUCUUGCGCUGGUGGAGUUUAAACAUCUGACAGUCAGAAUUGCAACACAAUAGCAAGUUGAAGAGCACUGUCUUUACAAUCAGAAGAGCUUUCUAAGAAAGGAGAUGGCUUUUCUAAAAUAGCAGUUAUGGUGCUUCCUGGCUGUCAUCCAAAUUUAAGAUGCACAAGUUGUUUUCACUUCAUAAAGCUGUAUUGCUCAUAAAUCAGAGCAGCAUUAUGCUACAAACUCUCAGCACAAGAGGCUGCCAUAUAACUUGAGAAAAAUUAUCCAUCUGUUUGAAUUAGCAAUCAGAUUUUUUUAUUUUCUUCUUUAAAGUUUUCCUACUGACAAAACUUUUUUUUCUUUUGCUGCUAUGGAAGAAUUACUAGCAAAUUAACAGAUUUUCAACAGUGCAAGAACUGAGUUUAGUAUUACUGGUAUGUACGGAGCUAAAAUAUCAUUCUCAGUAAAGACAUCUAUUAAUGCCUACCUUUUCUUUUCCAUGUUUAAGAAGAGGCUGUCUAAGGAAUUGUUUAACAACUUUUCUAAGGAGAACCUAGCUCUCGGGUUUGUUUGUCCAAUAAAAUAUGACUUCAGACUUCAUUUCUUGUUAGCAAACUAGAUUUCUGAAAAUACUGAACUGCAUUGUGAGUAGUUCUCAUGUUCCUGUUAUGUAUGUGCCUAUGUCCUCAUGGUUUAGCUAUUAGCCCUGUUUCAUGGAGAAAGAUUUCUCCACAUUUCUCCACACUGCCCCUAUAAAUAUGGCAUUGUCGCCUGGGCAAGAGACAUUUCCACCUGAGAGGGGAGGGAUAGAGCACCCACCUGCUUAUUCUCUGUACUUUAUCACUAAGCAGGUGCACAGCCACAGGGUGUUUUCUGUGGCGGAACCUCCUCUUAGACGCAAAGAAGGGAAGAAACUCAAGUCAAAACAAACCAUGGAGAAGGCUCAAGAGAGGUCCAAGCUAGGAUGUUGUUGCUGAUUCUCCUCACUGACUGAAAAUACUCCUGGAUACCGGGCAGAAGGCAGGCUCCUAGCUUUCCCGAUCCCACAAAGUGUUGAGUGUCCUCAAUUCCCGUUGACUUUAAAGAGAAUCAAAGACACUAGGAACCUUGCAGGAUUGCACCCCAAAAGAUUCAGAUUAAAGACAUUUCUUCUAGAAGUGACCAAAUACUACAAGUCCUGAACAAACCCCAAUUCUAUUUUUAUUUAUUUUU